GAUGAACGCUGGCGGCGUGCCUAAUACAUGCAAGUCGAGCGAACAGACGAGGAGCUUGCUCCUCUGACGUUAGCGGCGGACGGGUGAGUAACACGUGGAUAACCUACCUAUAAGACUGGGAUAACUUCGGGAAACCGGAGCUAAUACCGGAUAAUAUAUUGAACCGCAUGGUUCAAUAGUGAAAGACGGUUUUGCUGUCACUUAUAGAUGGAUCCGCGCCGCAUUAGCUAGUUGGUAAGGUAACGGCUUACCAAGGCAACGAUGCGUAGCCGACCUGAGAGGGUGAUCGGCCACACUGGAACUGAGACACGGUCCAGGCUCCUACGGGAGGCAGCAGUAGGGAAUCUUCCGCAAUGGGCGAAAGCCUGACGGAGCAACGGCGCGUGAGUGAUGAAGGUCUUCGGAUCGUAAAACUCUGUUAUUAGGGAAGAACAAAUGUGUAAGUAACUAUGCACGUCUUGACGGUAACUAAUCAGAAAGCCACGGCUAACUACGUG
rnacentral:rRNA from 1 species